GGACGAUUAGUUCAGUUGGGAGAGCCUCUGGGUCACAACCAGAAUGUCAGCGGUUCGAGCCCGUUAUCGUCCA
rnacentral:tRNA from 1 species